UCGGGGUUUCGUACGUAGCAGAGC
rnacentral:piRNA from 8 species